GCAAUGGGCGAAAGCCUGACGCAGCGACGCCGCGUGGGGGAUGAAGGUCUUCNGAUUGUAAACCCCUUUCGGGAGGGAAGAUDNAGUGGGGUAACCCAUUUGGACGGUACCUCCAGAAGCAGCCACGGCUAACUUCGUGCCAGCAGCCGCGGUAAUACGAAGGUGGCAAGCGUUGUUCGGAUUUACUKGGCGUACAGGGAGCGUAGGCGGUUCGGUAAGCCCUUUGUGAAAUCUCCAGGCUUAACCUGGAACAGUCGGAGGGGACUGCCGGGCUAGAGGACGGGAGAGGAGCGCGGAAUUCCCGGUGUAGCGGUGAAAUGCGUAGAGAUCGGGAGGAAGGCCGGUGGCGAAGGCGGCGCUCUGGAACGUUUCUGACGCUGAGGCUCGAAAGCGUGGGGAGCAAACAGGAUUAGAUACCCUGGUAGUCCACGCCUUAAACUAUGAAUACUAAGUGUCGGCGGGUUACCGCGGUGCCGCAGCUAACGCAUUAAGUAUUCCGCCUGGGAAGUACGGCCGCAAGGUUG
rnacentral:rRNA from 1 species